rnacentral:lncRNA from 13 species
UUAAAAAAUUCUUUGAACCCUCUAGAAUAAGAGACAAACGGUUUUAUAUCUGCCAGAAAUCGUUUUCAUUAAAAUUUCGAGCUCUUUCUCGACCCCUCCCGACUGCAACGAAACGACUACCUGCGCCUUGACAUUUAUGUGAGCUACAAUGAGUGAAAAGAAAGUGUAUGCAAGCCAUAUCCACAGCACGAAAAAUGCUCAGAGUCUUGGUGCGAAUGGAAGAAGACGCAAGCAACGGGUUCCUUAGAUCCCUUUCAUCAUAAGCCGGCACUAGCGAACAAAGUUUUUGAAGCCAUUAGACCAAUCUACAAGGAUUUGAGCCGUGACGAGUUGCUGACGUUGCUUGGGAGGCUAUACGCAGAACAACAACAAAAGUUUUAAUUCUACAGUCUGCACUUGGCUCCUAAAAUUUAUUCAAACAGAAAGAAAAUAUUACAAAUAGCAAGUGAAAUUGCUGUUUGUAAUUUUAAUGAUGAACUGAUAAACGUUUUAAGAAUAAUGAAAGUGAUGGACAUGAACCACAAUUCAACAACUUUUGCUUAGAGGCGGACGCUGCUCGAAUACAACACGCGGUGCGCAACUCUUUGAUGGACGCAGCGAGAAAGGCUCGCUCCAGCAUAAAAGUGUCCAGAAAAGAAAACGAGGAAAAGUUUAGCAACCUGGAAGGUCAGCUUUACAGUGCUGGAAUAGCAGAUUAAAGAUUAAUUUUUGCUGCACUUCUACUGCGUGCCGCGGAGUCCCUCCAAAAAAAACCGUUUUGCAGAAACGGCUGUUGGGCAGCCAUU